rnacentral:rRNA from 1 species
CCUACGGGAGGCAGCAGUGAGGAAUAUUGGUCAAUGGGCGAACGCCUGAACCAGCCAAGUCGCGUGAAGGAUGACUGCCCUACGGGUUGUAAACCUCUUUUGUCAGGGAGCAAUUGAGUCCACGUGUAGCCUUAGCGAGAGUACCUGAAGAAAAAGCAUCGGCUAACUCCGUGCCAGCAGCCGCGGUAAUACGUAGGAUGCAAGCGUUAUCCGGAUUUACUGGGUUUAAAGGGCUCGUAGGCGGAAUACAAAGUCAGCGGUAAAAAUCCGGGGCUCAACCCCGGCGUGCCGUUGAAACUGUUGUUCUUGAGUGGGCGAGAGGUAUGCGGAAUUCGUGGUGUAGCGGUGAAAUGCGUAGAUAUAAGGAGGAACACCAGUGGUGAAGGCGGCUUACUGGACUGUAACUGACGUUGAGGCGCGAAAGCGUGGGGAGCAAACAGGAUUAGAUACCCUAGUAGUC